UACGUAGGGUGCAAGCGUUAAUCGGAAUUACUGGGCGUAAAGCGUGCGCAGGCGGUGAUGUAAGACAGGUGUGAAAUCCCCGGGCUUAACCUGGGAACUGCAUUUGUGACUGCAUCGCUGGAGUGCGGCAGAGGGGGAUGGAAUUCCGCGUGUAGCAGUGAAAUGCGUAGAUAUGCGGAGGAACACCGAUGGCGAAGGCAAUCCCCUGGGCCUGCACUGACGCUGAGAUGCGAAAGCGUGGGGAGCAAACAGG
rnacentral:rRNA from 1 species